GACGAACCGAGCGAACGUUGUUCGGAAUCACUGGGCAUAAAGGGCGCGUAGGCGGGCCGUCAAGUCAGGGGUGAAAUCCUCCAGCUUAACUGGAGAACUGCCUUUGAUACUGACGGCCUCGAGUGAGGUAGGGGCGUGCGGAACUGAUGGUGGAGCGGUGAAAUGUGAUGAUAUCAUCAGGAACUCCGGUGGCGAAAGCGGCACGCUGGACCUUUACUGACGCUGAGGCGCGAAAGCCAGGGGAGCGAACGGG
rnacentral:rRNA from 1 species